rnacentral:rRNA from 1 species
UACGUAGGGUGCAAGCGUUGUCCGGAAUUAUUGGGCGUAAAGAGCUCGUAGGCGGUUCGUCGCGUCGGCUGUGAAAUCCCGAGGCUCAACCUCGGGUCUGCAGUCGAUACGGGCGGACUGGAGUUCGGCAGGGGAGACUGGAAUUCCUGGUGUAGCGGUGAAAUGCGCAGAUAUCAGGAGGAACACCGUAGUGGCGAAGGCAGGAUCUCUGGGCCGUAACUGACGCUGAGGAGCGAAAGCGUAGGG